rnacentral:lncRNA from 1 species
GCCCUGCAGGAGGAAGGGAAACCCAAAAACGGAGGGGGAAGCAAAGCAGCGGCUCCCCGCCUUCCUCCUGCAAAGGGGGAACGGGCUCGGUGCGGCCGUGCUCUCGGGGUCCCCAGGCUGACUCCCUGCUUGCCAUGGGGACGUGUCGGGGCCGGUGUUCCCAGCGCUGGCGGCUGGCCGGCCCCCGGGGCUGCGCGGCGCUCACCCAACUGGGCCAACCCGCUCGCGCACGGCCCCGUCCCGCCGACGUGCCCAGGAGCCCGGCCGGUUCCACCAGCCCGGCUCGCCGCCCUCCUGCGUCACGGCGGCGAGGUGGCCACGAACCCGCAGCCACCGAACCCGGCUUCAAUCCAAUCCCUAGGGCUCAGCGCGGCCGUGCCUCAGUUUCCCCACCUGCAGCAGCUUCGUUUCCCCGCGGCUUUCCCCCGCCCCGGGGAAGGUGACGGGGAGGGGAAGGCCCUGGGGCUGCGCGUCAGCUCCAGCCCUGCCACGGCUUCCCCCGGCCCCGCUGCUGGCUCCUGCAGGGAGAGGCCCUUUGGGUCCCCGGGUGGAAAGUGCCGGGGCGCGGGGCCGGCGGCUCCGUUCCGGGUAGCGGGCAGGAAGCCGGGGGUGGUGAGCGCUGCUGCGGUCCCACGGCCGGGUGAGCCGAGCGCCCGCGUGCGCCCCGGUGCCGUGUGGGGCCGUGGACGGACAGCGGGGCUGCAGGCUCCAGGCAGCGGUGGCUGCGGUGUCACAGCUGGGGACACCAUGGGCAGGAGUGGCCCCGUGGUGUGUCCAUCCCCAGCCCGCUGUGAGCCCACCCUGGGGGGCUGUGGGGUGAAGCUGCGCUGCUCCCUGCCGACCCCCGAGCUUCUGCACCCAGUGUGGGGGCGCAGCGGGGGCACUCCGAGGUCCCCAGCACCAGGGGGCACAGCGGGGGCACCGCUGGGUGCAUGGGCAAAGCCUGACCCCAGGGAAGUGGGGGCUGAUCUGUGGGGCUGUUAUUUAGGGAGGGGGUGGGAGUCCCCUCAGGCCAUGGUCCCCGUUCAGUGGCAUCCCCUGCAGCCUGGGGCUGUGCCCCCCCCACUCCCCCAUGUCCCCAUCCAGCUGCAUCCCCGCACCCCAGGGACCUGGGGGAGGAAACCAGGGGAUGGAGCAAUCCAGAGCCCCACAGGACCCCCAGCACCCUACGGAUGGGAUUUCCCAGCUGGGGCCGGUGCCUUCUCCCUGCAGGAACACUCAGGAGGCUGGGGGGGGCUCACUGAACCCCAGAGCCCCCCCUGGGGCAGCCGGCGUCCCGGGGCCGAGCUGCGGAGGAAGCCGAGGCCGGGUGAGGAAGUGGCUCCGGUUCCUGCGGUGGCUUGUGCCGCACCGGGCGGCCCGCUGCCAGCGCCCGGCUUUGAC